GUGGCGGUGGGCACGGUGAUGGCGGCGUUACGACGGGUGAAGGCGUAUGAGUGGGUGGUUUAGGGGUGGACGGAGGUGGUUUAACAGUGGGCGGUUUCGUGGGUGGUUUCGGGGUAGACGGAGGAGGUUUAACGGUGGGCGGUUUCGUGGGUGGUUUCGGGGUGGACGGAGGUGGUUUAACGGUGGGCGGUUUCGUGGGUGGUUUCGGGGUGGGAUGAGGUUUGGUAGGGGGUUUCGGAUGUGGGUGUGGUUUGACAGUGGGCGGUUUGGUAG
rnacentral:lncRNA from 1 species